rnacentral:rRNA from 1 species
UACGUAGGGGGCAAGCGUUGUCCGGAAUCAUUGGGCGUAAAGAGCGUGUAGGCGGCCAGAUAAGUCCGCUGUGAAAACUCGAGGCUCAACCUCGAGACGCCGAUGGAAACCAUCUGGCUAGAGUCCGGAAGAGGAGAGUGGAAUUCCUGGUGUAGCGGUGAAAUGCGCAGAUAUCAGGAAGAACACCCGUGGCUAAGGCGGCUCUCUAGUACGGUACUGACGCUGAGACGCGAAAGCGUGGGGAGCGAACAGG